AACGAACGCUGGCGGCAUGCCUAACACAUGCAAGUCGAACGAGAUCUUCGGGUCUAGUGGCGCACGGGUGCGUAACGCGUGGGAAUCUGCCCUUUGGUUCGGGAUAACAGUUGGAAACGACUGCUAAUACCGGAUGAUGACGAAAGUCCAAAGAUUUAUCGCCAGAGGAUGAGCCCGCGUAGGAUUAGCUAGUUGGUGUGGUAAAGGCGCACCAAGGCGACGAUCCUUAGCUGGUCUGAGAGGAUGAUCAGCCAAACUGGGACUGAAACACGGCCCAGACUCCUAAGGGAGGCAGCAGUUGGGAAUAUUGGACAAUGGGCGAAAGCCUGAUCCAGCAAUGCCGCGUGAGUGAUGAAGGCCUUAGGGUUGUAAAGCUCCUUUACCCGGGAUGAUAAUGACAGUACCGGAAGAAUAAGCUCCGGCUAACUCCGUGCCAGCCGCCGCAGUAA
rnacentral:rRNA from 1 species